AACGAACGCUGGCGGCAUGCCUAACACAUGCCAGUCGAACGAGACCUUCGGGUCUAGUGGCGCACGGGUGCGUAACACGUGGGAAUCUGCCCUUUGCUUCGGAAUAACAGUUAGAAAUGACUGCUAAUACCGGAUGAUGUCGAAAGACCAAAGAUUUAUCGGCAAAGGAUGAGCCCGCGUAGGAUUAGGUAGUUGGUGGGGUAAAGGCCUACCAAGCCGACGAUCCUUAGCUGGUCUGAGAGGAUGAUCAGCCACACUGGGACUGAGACACGGCCCAGACUCCUACGGGAGGCAGCAGUUGGGAAUAUUGGACAAUGGGCGAAAGCCUGAUCCAGCAAUGCCGCGUGAGUGAUGAAGGCCUUAGGGUUGUAAAGCUCUUUUACCAGGGAUGAUAAUGACAGUACCUGGAGAAUAAGCUCCGGCUAACUCCGUG
rnacentral:rRNA from 1 species